rnacentral:rRNA from 1 species
GACGGAGGAUGCAAGCGUUAUCCGGAAUGAUUGGGCGUAAAGCGUCCGCAGGUGGCAGUUCAAGUCUGCUGUCAAAGACCGGGGCUUAACUUCGGAAAGGCAGUGGAAACUGAACAGCUAGAGUAUGGUAGGGGCAGAGGGAAUUCCCGGUGUAGUGGUGAAAUGCGUAGAUAUCGGGAGGAACACCAGUGGCGAAGGCGACUUCCUGGCCUGUUCUUGACGCUGAGGCGCGAAAGCUAGGGGAGCAAACGGG